GACGAACGCUGGCGGCGUGCUUAACACAUGCAAGUCGAACGGUGAAGCGCCUUCCUUUUUGGUGGGUGUGGAUGAGUGGCGAACGGGUGAGUAACACGUGAGUAACCUGCCCCCUUCUUCUGGAUAACCGCAUGAAAGUGUGGCUAAUACGGGAUAUUCUGGGUCUGUCGCAUGAUGGGUCUGGGAAAGAUAUUGUUUCGGUGGGGGAUGGGCUCGCGGCCUAUCAGCUUGUUGGUGGGGUGAUGGCCUACCAAGGCGGUGACGGGUAGCCGGCCUGAGAGGGUGGACGGUCACACUGGGACUGAGACACGGCCCAGACUCCUACGGGAGGCAGCAGUGGGGAAUAUUGCACAAUGGGCGCAAGCCUGAUGCAGCGACGCCGCGUGAGGGAUGGAGGCCUUCGGGUUGUGAACCUCUUUCGCCAGUGAAUCAGGCCUGCCUCGUUUGUGGGUGGGUUGACGGUAGCUGGAGAAGAAGCGCCGGCUAACUACGUG
rnacentral:rRNA from 1 species